CUGAUUGAGCAUAAGAACUUGAUUCUUCUUAAUUUCUAGUUUUUGGUUGAUAUCAUCUGAAGGCAUGGUGGCAUGGGCAUUCUCAUUCCUUUGCUUCUUAGUAUACUUUUCACAAUGUUUUGAUAGUGGAUUGUUCUUCUUUCAAUCUAUUCACAUGUUUUUGUUUUUGUUUUUUAUUGAAUGGCAGGAAAAAUUUCAUUCUAGACAAAGUUUGUCUUUUAGUUGAAGUUACUGCGAGGUCCAUUCGUCGACAAAUUGCUUUUUUAAAUGAUAUUUGCGGAAGCUGUUGAUAGAUUGCAUAGGCCUGUUAUAGACAGCAGGUCUAUUCAGAAAAUAAUUACCGCCACCAAGUGAAGUCCCCAAUUGUUCAUGGAUUGUUCACAUUCCAUCAUAUCUCUACCAUCUCAAAGAUUUCAGGUAAGACCUGCACUCACUUGUUGUUGCUAUCAUUCUGCUGUACCAUUUUGAUGUUGGUCCACAUUUCAUUGUAUGAAAUCCCAACAUAGCCCCCAUUCAAACUUUAGAAGAUUUGUCAUCCUUGCACAAGUUCGGAUCUAUACUUGUACGGGUUUGAUUGAAGGAAACAGAACAGAGGCCUUAUAUGUUAUGAAAUGUAAGUAAUGUUUGACAUGUGAAACAUCUUAUUUUUCCAACUAUGUUUCUAAAUUCUUUGAAUCUCUUUUGCUCUUAUGCUUAUCAUUCUCCUUCAACAAAUAUUUUGAUUCUCAGGUUUUGAGUUGAUAUUUUGUUUUCUGUGCUUAGUAAUCUAAUUUAUUCAUCAAUAUGUUUUAUUUAUUAAAGUUAGGAUAAGGCUUAGAUGAUGAUGAUGACUAUGGAUAUGUUUUCUUUAUUGUACUUUUUUUUUUUACUACAAAUCAUUUAUUCACAAACAUAAUAAUUAGUAGAGUUGAUAUGGUUUGAUGUUAAUUUCAAACUUUACUAGGUGACUAGUUGGCAACUUUGAUCUUUGAGUUGGUGGGUGCAAGAAAAAUAACUUCAUGCAGUUUUUUGGUUUAUCUCUAAUUGAAUUUCAGAUAUUGAUCAAGUUGGAGGAUAAUAGCCUGGUUGAAACUGUAGGGAUACCAAUUGAAGAUAAUAAAGGUUUUUAUCGCCUCACUGCUUGUAUAUCUUCACAGGAUUUCGCACUGGAUGAUCCCUUCAUUUUGUCUUGUUGUCCUUGGCUUUUCCUUGAAUUUUUGCAGUAAGAUAAGACAUCUUCUAUUGUUUUGGUUCUUUCAGUUGAUUGUUUAACACAAGUUGACAGUAUGCUUGGUAUUUCCUUGAUAUAGGAAUGCAUGUGAAUAAGGUCCUCUACACUUUCAGUUACAUAUGUGUCACCGCUGGUGCAGCUGGCAUUCUCUUUGCUGGAACUUAUGUUCUGAAAUAGCAGAUGAUGAGAGUAUUCGUGUGUUGGAAGUACCUAGCUGGUGCGUGAAGGCAAUAUGACGUUAAAAGAUUUCUUCACCCCAACUGAGAUGAAAGAUGGACUCACAAACCUUGCUAGAGUCGAAGACCUGGUUGUUGUUAUGCAGAGGCAGAGAGAAAAUAUUAUGAAGAAUGUAGUUAAUGC